CUCAAAACAGCGUCCUGAACCCCGACUGGAGUGUCUGGCCAACCUCCCGACGGAGUUCUGAGCAGGACCCUGAUUCUGCGACACCAAGAUUUUCCAGGUUAGGAGACACUUCUACAACUCUAACAGCUCUAUCACUCUCAGAAGAGGAGACAGCAUGCACGUGAUGAUCAGUCACUUCCAUCCUUUGGGAAGGGUGCAGAUCUGAGCCAUUGCACCUUUGCAAAGGCACCUUCCACCCAGUCUGCAGCUCCAGAGUAAACACGUAGGUUCAGUUACAUUUGAAGUAAUACAAAACCUGGAGUUUCAUGAGGAAUAAUCAUCAAUACUAGUUAAGAUAAAAGCAGUUUUCUCCCACAGUUUCCGGAUCAGCAACAAGGGUACUGCAUAUUGAGAAAUGAGAGGCUCCUGUGACCCUGAAAGGCUCAGCACUUCACUGGAUUCACAAAGACACUGAAAGGUUUGCCAAGUAGUCAUCUGGAACAGAUGUGCCACAGCUGUGGUUCAAGCACACAACUUUUCAUGGACCACCUGCUUCCUUACCCAGAAGUUCCACAAACUAACUGAUGUCUCAGUCAUUCUGUAUCAUACAUGGUUCCAAGAAUUGCUGAAUUCAGUGCUGAUGGGUAAGAUCACAUGUUCUGUAUUUACUGUUCGCUUAAGUACACUUGAACCUGAAACUUGAGCAACCAGCAAAACUGAAGGUAGAAGCUUCUUACAAUGCUGUAUUAUACAGUGAUAGUAAUUCCUGUCCUAGUCUACUUGGAAAGCUAACCCAGCAUAAAAAUUUCACGAAGCGAAGAAUUUCAGCUUAUUUCUCAAAGGAUGACUUUCUUUUCCCCUAAAGCAGUGCUAAUAAUAUUCCUAAAACUCAAGGAAGGCAGAGGUAAAUUACAAAAGUUAUGAAGUAAUUUCUGAGAAGUACCAAGGAGAGAAGUUACUGAAGCUAUGAUACAAGAAGCUGGCUAUAAUUUCUGCACAUCAAUGUCACUGGUAUUUAACCAAUACAGUUAUAUGGGAUAGAUGCACAAAAAGCUUUGUAUCAAGCUUGGUACAAAAAUACCAAAAAACAAACACAAAAUGCCCCCUCAAAACCCAGAAAAGAUGGUACCGUGAAGCUAAAAUGUCCUAGUCAAUGUACUAAGACAAAUCACACAAGAGAAUGUUCAUUUCAAUGUUUCAAAUUAUAAACCAGAUACCGAAUACCUUUAGAGGCACCUCAGGCUGUAGUUAAGAGUGGAUUCCCCUAUACAGCCCUCUCACUGAGUACUGCAUCUGACCUUAGUGAGCAACAGCCAAAUAUAGCAUGCUGCCCUCACCACGGUCUAUGGUUUAGCAGUGUGGUUUCUUCCUUUCUAAAAAAAAGUUACAUUCCUACCUUUGGUGGUAACUAAUGAGCAUUUAAGAGAAAUUUUAACACUUUGUAGUUGCAGUUAUCUUAAAUAAGAACAGCAUUUCUCUCUUUUUAUACUAUGAUUUAGCUGAGCAGUGAGAAAGACACUGAAUGACUCAAGUAAAACCUGUGCUGCAGAGUAUCUAAAUGAAACAGUUACUGAAUCAUGGAGCCUUCCAGUGGCCGAACAGCCAGACAGAAUGAAGAACCCCAGCACACUGCCUGAUGCUGGGUCUUGGCCUUCAGUGCAGUUUUUCAAGCCAACCAUUCCAUUAGUCAUGCACUUAUAAAGCUAAAGAUGAAGUGGCUGAUAUCUGCACUGCUGUACAAACCCAGAAACAAACUUCGUUCUUCUGUCCCUCCUCUCUGGUUAAUACAAUACCUACUCUCCUAGAAACAUAUCAAAAUUGCUUAUUUUCUUCCUCUUUUUAAAGACUAUUUUUUAAAAAGUCCUUUGCAAGCAACUCCUUUUACAGUUAUUCUUGUUUAUUUUUCUAGUCUCAAAUCAUCCAGUGAUUUCACACCAAGCCAGGUAAUAACUCUUGUUUAUUCAGGAUUCAUAUCCAUGGUUUGUUUAUAUUGUUUUGCAACAGAUCAUCGAGAUCUAUUUUAUUUCUCUACAACUGCCUCUCUUUUUCAACAUCAGUUACAGAGGCUAGAACUGCAAGCACUACUACCAUAUCAUAAUACCACACCAUCAGUCUGGCUGGAUAUAUUUAUUAGCUAAGACAGUAACAAAAUAAGAAAUGUUAUUGACCAUAGCAUAUUUGAUCACUAUGCUCUAUACCAUUUAAAACUAACAUGGAAAAAUCUCAAUUAUUUAAUAAGAAUUUAAAAUCCAAUUUCCAUUUAAAAAGUCAAAUAAUAUUCAAAUUCCUGUUUAUCACAACCUAUAAGACCUCCAAAAUCACAAGAAAAUGAAACUUGCAGCUUUCUUACAAGACAACCCAUGACACAGUAAGAACAGCAUGCAAUUGGCUUUUUAAGGCAAUUAUAAAUAUCACCUUUUUAGCUGAACAUUGAAGCAAUAACCAUUCCUACACCUACUGGUAGUCUUCUUGGAUAAGUAUUUCCCAGUUUCCUUGGUGCGUUGGUACUACCAGAACUAGUAGCCCUCAGCCGCACACAAAAUGAAUUUGUUUAGAAAAGAUCCUCAUUAAGUUCAGUCAGAUUAAUUCAAACUGUUAAUUUUAAUUAGGACAGCUAGAUUUAGGCAAGCAAGGUAUCUUGCCUAGACAAGGCAAAUUUGUUUGUACCACAACAGAAAUUAAGCCCCUUUACAGAAAGCCAUCUUGUACCUCAGGUUACUGUGCCUCGAUUUCCCUAAGUACAUCUUCCCUUCCAUAUGGUAAACUCCCUUGUGUUUUCUAAGUCAGACACCUAUAAAUUUAAAAGAGCAGAGAUGCAUUCCAGCUGGGACGCCUUAUAUCCAGAAAUUAAGGAUACAGCACAGAAACAGAAAGCCCAACUCCCUGACAGAAAUAUGGAACUUAACACCAGUCACAGCACUCUUUACAAGUCAAGGUUACACCUAUUCCAGUAUCUUUGCUUUCAUAUAGGGGCAACCUUCUCCACACAUCACUAAAUUUAAAUCAGUUUAGAAUCUGGCUUAAAUGUAGACUUGGUACACCCAUUUAGCUCAGCAUUGUUGCAAAUUUCAGGGCAUUUCCCAGAGAGGGAUACAUGGUAUUCCUAGAUGAGGCAAAACACAAGUAACAAUUUCAGCUGCAGAGCCCAGGAGAAAAAAACUUCUCUGUUCACAUUGGAAAGUAGGAUUCAAAGAGACACUCAAAUCAUAGCCUUCCAAUACUUAAAGAGGGCUUAUAAGAAAGAUGGGGACAAACUUUUGAAUAGGGCUUGUUGCAAUCAGACAAGGGAAAUGGAUUUAUACUAAAUAAAAUUUUUUUAAAGUAGGCUAAGACUAGAUAUAUGGAUGAAAUUCUUUUACAGUGACAGUGAUGAAACACUGAACAGGUUGCUCAGAGAGGUGGUGGAUGCUUCAUUCCUGGAAACAUUCAACAUCACACUGGACAGGGCUCUGAGCAACUUGAUCCAGUUGAAGCUGUCCCUCCACUGGAGAGGGUUUGUACCAGGUGACCUUUACAAGCUCCUUCCAACCCAAACCAUGUUAUUAUUCUGUAUUUCAUAACUGAUAUGCUCAUGGCAGUAUCAUGUGUGCAUACUCCUGUGCUGUCCACAGCUAGAACGGACUGGGAAAAAAAAAUUGAUCCACCAGAUGGCAUAGCUGGGAUAGUAGGAAGGGGAAAAAGCAUGUAGACACACUGUAGCACACACAGUAGACACACUGAAGCAAAAAUAAGAGCACCAUUUUUGUGUACCAUAACAUAGCUAAGCCUGAUCUGUGAUUCUGCAUACCAGCACAAGAAGGAAACACUCUUUCAAUCAAUUUGGCUUAUUCACUUUCAUGGUCACGUAUCACUCUAAGGGUCUUUCCGCAAAGUUACGGAAUUCCAUAUUUAAAUGACCUGCAAAUCUUUGCAGAUUCACUCAUGAUAGACAGUAAAAUUCAAAGUAUCUCCAAGAUAGUGAGGCACACAUGUCAGAACACCAGCACUUCCCUCAUUCUUCUAGUAAAGCAACAGGAAUGACAAUUUAAAUCUGGCAGAUGGUACCUGGUAGACAGAGAUAAAAUAAAACAUUGCUAUGUUCAGACUUCAUGUAUACACUUGGUUUUUUACCUUGCUACCAUUUCCAAACAGUAGUUAUUUAUAAGGUAUCACUAACUAAUGGCCAUGUACUAGACAGACUACAAGAGAACGUCAAUUCAAAAUGAGAUCUUACUAUUCCUAAAUUCAUCACUUAACCAAUGAAUAGAGGAGAAGAAAUUGGUAUAUGCAAAAGAACAUGGAAAUUAAAAGCUAAAGAAUAUGGAAAUUAAAAGCUGCAGUCCUAGAAGACUAUUAACAUUCAUUAUACCCAUUACAUCACCACUUCAGGUGAGUCUAUGAAAACUCUCUCUAAAUUCAACUCAAGAGUUAAUCGAUCUGGCUUCCAGCACUCAAAAGACCCACAAAGUAAGAAUACAUUCAAGAUAAGCAUGUGGGCACACUCCUUGAGGAAUGGGAAGACGUUCCUGAAUUCUCCCAAGCAGCCCAGCUGUAGGCCACUUCAUACUGAUAUCUCAAAAAGAAACCAAAAUCACAAUUAAACCCAAAGAAAGUAAGACACUCCAAGUAGGUAAUUCCAAUCAAAAGGCAAGUUAAUGUGUCAUAUAACCCAGAAGGACAAAAACAGUUAGAGUAACCUAAUUAAAGUAGGAGCAAGAACUCCUGACAGUUAAUAUCACAGCCUAGAAACAGGUGUCACCACCCAGCAACCCAGUGGCAGCAGUGAAGUUUCCUACUGCUGUGGCUUUUGAUAUGUAUUUGCUAGUCUUGAAAAAUUACAUGUAGCAGCCACUGAGAGACAAUUGUAGACUGUUAUUCAAACUUAAAGCCAUCCAUUUCACUUAAAGCAACCAAAAGGACUAAAUAUAUACUGCAUGACAAUUUAACAAAAAUGUCUUUUUAUUAUUUCACUGUAUUUACACUUAUACCACAAAAGCCAUGUUUCCUUAUCCUUUUAAGUCAAAGUUGAAGUGUGAGUAAUGGAGCCAAACAACUUGCUUUGAACAAUGUAGCUGGCGAUAAGAGUCAACAGAAAUUUUUCUGCGCAACCAGUGUGGGGAGGGAUUCAUACUCACUUUACCAGAACAGGUCAGCUAAGCAACAGCAUGAGCUCCAGAAUGUGAGCUGCCAAUUGUACAAACAAAAAAAACCAACCUUCAUUGUGGAACACUGCUGUUUGAACAACAGGUUAAAAUGCUAUAUGCUAGCAGUGCAACAAAUAAAAGAUGUUAAAAAGACAGCAAAAAUAAUUGACACGAUGCAUCCCUUUAAUUGCUGCCAUUUUUUUCAAACAAAACCUGUAAGAAUUAUCUAUUACGUUUCAGAUACAAGACGUUGCACAAGGUACUCCUCUAAUGUUAGCAGAUGACAAGCAGAAAGAAAGCACCUCAUUC